GAUCCUGGCUCAGGAUGAACGCUAGCGACAGGCUUAACACAUGCAAGUCGAGGGGCAGCACGGUGUAGCAAUACACUGGUGGCGACCGGCGCACGGGUGAGUAACACGUGUGCAACCAACCCCGUACCGGGAGAUAACCCGCGGAAACGUGGACUAACAUCCCAUAACACUCUAGAGCCGCAUGGUUCUGGAUUUAAAAUUCCGGUGGUUACGGGACGGGCACGCGCGGACAUUAGGUAGUUGGGCGGGGUAACGGCCCCACCCAAAG
rnacentral:rRNA from 1 species